rnacentral:rRNA from 1 species
ACGCUGGCGGCGUGCCUAAUACAUGCAAGUAGAACGCUGAAGGAGGAGCUUGCUUCUCUGGAUGAGUUGCGAACGGGUGAGUAACGCGUAGGUAACCUGCCUGGUAGCGGGGGAUAACUAUUGGAAACGAUAGCUAAUACCGCAUAACAGUAGAUGUUGCAUGACAUUUGCUUAAAAGGUGCAAUUGCAUCACUACCAGAUGGACCUGCGUUGUAUUAGCUAGUUGGUGGGGUAACGGCUCACCAAGGCGACGAUACAUAGCCGACCUGAGAGGGUGAUCGGCCACGCUGGGACUGAGACACGGCCCAGACUCCUACGGGAGGCAGCAGUAGGGAGUCUUCGGCAAUGGACGGAAGUCUGACCGAGCAACGCCGCGUGAGUGAAGAAGGUUUUCGGAUCGUAAAGCUCUGUUGUAAGAGAAGAACAGGUGUGAGAGUGGAAAGUUCACACUGUGACGGUAUCUUACCAGAAAGGGACGGCUAACUACGUGCCAGCAGCCGCGGUAAUACGUAGGUCCCGAGCGUUGUCCGGAUUUAUUGGGCGUAAAGCGAGCGCAGGCGGUUAGAUAAGUCUGAAGUUAAAGGCUGUGGCUUAACCAUAGUACGCUUUGGAAACUGUUUAACUUGAGUGCAAGAGGGGAGAGUGGAAUUCCAUGUGUAGCGGUGAAAUGCGUAGAUAUAUGGAGGAACACCGGUGGCGAAAGCGGCUCUCUGGCUUGUAACUGACGCUGAGGCUCGAAAGCGUGGGGAGCAAACAGGAUUAGAUACCCCUGGUAGUCCACGCCGUAAACGAUGAGUGCUAGGUGUUAGACCCUUUCCGGGGUUUAGUGCCGCAGCUAACGCAUUAAGCACUCCGCCUGGGGAGUACGACCGCAAGGUUGAAACUCAAAGGAAUUGAC